rnacentral:lncRNA from 1 species
AUGAAGACGUACGGACGUGGUGCGUAAUUGAAAUCGAAUAUAUUGCUUCAAAAGGAAAACAUAGAUAAUAUCCCAAUCAUAUCUACUUCCCUGUACAUGCAUUUUCUCAUCGCUUAAAGAGUUACACCCUUGCAUUUUUUUGUUAAUGAUAUUUUUUUGAUAAACACAACCCACGUAGUUUCUUUUUUUUUUCUUUGGUCUAAAACCCACGUAGUUUCUCUAUGUAUACUAUAUGAUUACAGAAAAUUAGUGAAGGCAUAUAUAUAAUUAAUAAACUUUCUGUAUACCAAUUCGGUCAACUAUUAUUUUGAACCCCC